rnacentral:lncRNA from 1 species
AUUUUUUUACAUGAUUCGGGAUCAAAUCUUUUCAAAAUUCAAAGAGCUUCGAGAAAUUUGAUAAAAGAGGAAAUGGAGAGAUAUUAGGAAGGAAAGAAUGGGAAUUUAAGAGGAAAAAUCCAUGGGAAUGACUAGAGAAUGGAUGAUUUUUUGGAUGGUAAAACUGAAAAAGAAUAGGCAAAGGCGGAGGCUGGGCAUAAGGAAAAUUGGUGCACUAGAUAUAGCAGGUAGCUGGAUGCUUCAAGGACAUUUGAGGC